rnacentral:misc_RNA from 1 species
AACAGCUAUUUUGCCAUUGACAUUGCAAUACAGUUUCAGUUCUUCAACUUCACUAUCUGAUUUUACAUUCACUUGUUCCUAACUCUAUCAUGCUCCUAGGGUAACAUAUGCACAACUUGGCGUUUAUCUAUCAUGCAAAAGAGGAUUCCUAAGUCCUAACACAUACUCGUAGGGUAACAUAUACACAAUCAAUAAAGGUUAACCCAAUGCACGAAAUAUCCCACAUUUGUGGCACGAAAUAUCCCACAUUUGUG